rnacentral:lncRNA from 1 species
GGUUUUCUUGGUAUAUGUAAAUACCUGAAAGAGACAACUAAAAAGAAAUGGAUUGGAGGGAGUAAAUCAUAAAAAUACAUCAAAGGUCUUGUUAAUAAUCGUGACAGAAGCACAAACCACAGAUGUUAAUGGCAUAGAUAACAAACAGGAUUACAUAGAUUCCUACAUUCGAUUCUCAGCCUCAACAUGUUAGAAUAAUUAAUCAAGUACUUAGUGGAGAUAUUGAAAAGUUGUGACUAUUUAGUUUCAACUCCACUAGCCAUUGUAUUGAUUGUAUUGAUUAAUCUUCCUUAUUAAUUAGGGGUUAACUAGGAGACUCUUACCUAUAUAAAUGUACACUCUCACCACAUAAUAUGAUAUAAUAAACAUAUUUUCAGUUCUAAUAUGGUAUCAGAGCUUCUUGAUCCAGAGCCAUGUCUACGUCUUCUCCCUCUGAUGCGCAACGCGUAACUGCUGCAGCAUCCAAAACCUUCAAACAAGUAGUUUCUGUUAAGCUUGAUGAUACGAACUACCUUCAAUGGAAGCAACAAGUCGAAGGUGUUCUUCGCGGAACGAAGAUGGUGAAAUUUGUGAUUUCACCUGAUAUUCCACCGGUUUUUCUCACAGAUGCAGCGCGCGAAGCUGGAACGGAGAAUCCUGCUUACACUGAAUGGGAAGAACAAGAUUCAUUGCUCUGCACCUGGAUUCUUUCAACGAUUUCGCCUUCGCUACUUUCGCGAUUCGUUCUCCUUCGCCACUCAUGGCAGGUUUGGGAUGAGAUCCAUAGUUACUGCUUCACGCAGAUGAAGACGCGUUCGCGUCAACUUCGAUCUGAACUUAGAUCCAUUACGAAAGGUUCACGCACUGUCGCUGAAUUCAUUGCUCGAAUUCGCGCAAUUUCAGAGUCUCUUGCUUCAAUUGGAGAUCCGGUCUCUCACAGGGACCUAAUUGAAGUUGUUCUUGAAGCACUUCCUGAAGAGUUUGACCCUAUUGUUGCUAGUGUGAAUGCAAAAUCUGAGGUUGUUUCUUUAGAUGAACUUGAAUCUCAGCUUCUCACACAAGAAUCUAGAAAGGAGAAGUUCAAGAAAGCUGCUAUCAGUGAACCUGUUUCAGUUAAUCUCACUGAAACUGCAAAUUCAGAAUCCCAAUCUCAUGGUCCUAAUUCUCAAAACCACAAUUAUACUGAUGGCACCGGAAACAAUCAGUUUCCUAACUCUAACUCUAAUUUUGGAGGAAGAAAUGGCCAGUUCAGAGGACGUGGUGGCCGUUUUGGUGGUAGAUUCAGAGGACGUGGUGGCCGUUUCGGUGGAAGAUCCAAUGUUCAAUGCCAAAUAUGUUCAAAAACUGGUCAUGAUGCAAGCUAUUGUCACUACCGUUUCUUUGCCCCACAAAAUGAUUACUACAGUCCCUAUGGCUCACCAGGAGGCUAUGGUGCACCUCCAAAUGUAUGGAUGCAGAACAUGUCACGUCCUCAACAUUCUGGACAGUUUCUUAGGCCUCCCACACAGGCUGCGAAUCAGAGAGGUCAAGCUCCCCAGGCCUUCUUAACUGGCUCAGAUCCAUACAAUUCAUUCAACAAUGCCUGGUACCCUGACUCAGGUGCUACUCAUCAUGUCACCCCUGAUGCAUCCAACCUCAUGGAUUCCACGUCUCUUUCAGGUUCUGAUCAGGUCCAUAUUGGAAAUGGACAAGGUUUGGCUAUUACCUCUGUUGGUUCCUUACAAUUUACUUCUCCUUUACAUCCUCAAACUACUCUAAAACUAAAUAAUCUCCUUCUUGUUCCCUCUAUAACCAAAAAUCUUGUUAGUGUGAGUCAAUUUGCUAAAGAUAACAAUGUUUACUUUGAGUUUCAUCCUAAUCAUUGUUUUGUCAAAUCUCAGGAUUCUUCUAAGGUGCUUUUAAGAGGUAUUCUAGGACAUGAUGGUCUCUAUCAAUUUGAGCACACCAAAUCAUUCAAGACCACUGCUCCUGUCUCUCAAAAUUCUAGUGUCAACACUGUUUGCAAUAAAGUUCCAGCACAAACUGAUAAUUCUGCCUCUUUUCAUUUAAGUCCCUCAACUGAUUUCAAUUUCAAUAAUUUUCAAUGCAAUAAUGUUGAACAUUUACCUAGUAGUUCAACAUCUAGUUCUACUCAGUCUUUUCCUUCCAUGUAUGGUAUCUGGCAUAGCAGACUUGGACAUCCUCAUCAUGAGGUGCUCCAAAGUAUUAUCAAACUUUGUAAUAUAAAAUUACCAAAUAAAAGCUUGUCAGAUUUCUGUACUGCUUGUUGUCAUGGUAAGGUUCAUAGACUGCCUUCUUUUGCAUCUCAAAUGACAUAUACUAAACCUCUUGAAUUAAUUUUCUGUGAUCUUUGGGGACCUGCACCAGUUGAAUCCUCUUGUGGAUAUACCUAUUUUCUUACUUGUGUGGAUGCUUAUUCUAGAUACACAUGGAUAUAUCCUCUGAAACUCAAAUCUCACACACUUUCUACAUUUCAGAAUUUUAAAACCAUGAUUGAAUUGCAGUUAAAUCACAAAAUUACUUCUGUCCAAACUGAUGGAGGUGGUGAGUUUUUACCUUUCACAAAAUAUCUCAAUAGCCUUGGCAUCACUCACAGAUUCACUUGUCCACACACUCACCAUCAAAAUGGCUCAGUUGAAAGGAAACAUAGACAUAUUGUUGAAACUGGUCUCACUCUUUUAUCUCAUGCACAAAUGCCAUUAAAGUUUUGGGACCAUGCCUUUUUAACUGCAACUUACCUUAUCAACAGGUUACCUACACCAGUUUUAGCAAAUAAAUCACCCUUUUUCUUACUUCACCUUCAAUUUCCAGACUAUAAAUUCCUUAAAAGCUUUGGUUGUGCAUGUUUUCCCUUUUUGAGACCCUAUAACUCUCAUAAGUUUGAUUUUUAUUCAAAGGAGUGUGUUUUCUUGGGAUAUUCCAACAGUCACAAAGGAUAUAAAUGUUUAGAUGCUUCAGGUAGAAUUUUUAUAUCCAAAGAUGUUGUGUUUAAUGAGGUAAAAUUUCCUUAUCUUGACUUGUUUCCAUCUCAGAAAGUGUGUUCUGUUUUACCAGAUGGUCCCACUUUAUCCACUUUUCUUCCCACUCCUGUCUCAACAACCUUUACUGUAAACUCACAUACUCCCCAAAAUUCUCAUUCUGAGUCUGGUCCUCACAUUGUUAACUCACCUACUCCCCAAACUUCUCAUUCCGAGUUUGUUCCUACUACUCCCAUAUCAAACACCCCUCAGACUCCAUCUAUUAGUUCUCAUCACUCCGAGUCCUCACACAGAAAUAAUGUGGUCCUAAAUCCCACACCCAUCACCAUUCUAUCUCCCUCUGCAUCUCAAAAUUCCUCACCUGAGUCAUCUGCUAGUGUUACUAGCUUUCAAUCUACUAAUUCUGAGUCUCCUCCUCCUGUUCCUCACAGAAUUCAUCCUCAAAACUGUCACACAAUGAGAACCAGAGGUAAACAUGGAAUUGUGCAGCCCAGAAUUAACCCUACACUCCUUUUGACUCAUGUUGAGCCCACUACUUACAAAACUGCUCUUCAGGAUCCUAAGUGGCAUUUAGCAAUGCAAGAAGAAUAUAAUGCUUUACUUCAUAAUCAGACAUGGUCUCUAGUAUCUCUUCCUGCAAACAAGACUGGCCAUUGGAUGUAAAUGGGUAUUUAGGGUAAAAGAAAAUCCAGAUGGCACUGUAAACAAGUACAAGGCACGUUUAGUGGCUAAGGGUUUUCAUCAACAAGCAGGUUUUGACUACAAUGAGACUUUUUCCCCUGUAGUCAAACCUGUUACAGUGAGGACAGUUCUGACACUUGCAGUUACUUAUAACUGGACUCUUCAGCAGUUGGAUGUGAACAAUGCAUUCCUAAAUGGAGUGCUAACUGAGGAAGUCUACAUGGUGCAGCCUCCUGGCUUUGAAUCUUCUGACAAGAACCUUGUAUGCAAACUACACAAGGCUCUCUAUGGGUUAAAACAGGCUCCCAGAGCAUGGUUUGAGAGAUUGAAAUCAUCUUUACUUAGCUUUGGGUUCAAGUCAAGCAGAUGUGAUCCUUCUUUGUUUACUUUGCACACUCAAGCUCACUGCAUUUUUAUAUUGGUUUAUGUUGAUGAUAUUAUCAUCACUGGAAACUCAAAACUGGCUAUUCAGAAUCUAGUUCAUCAGCUCAAUUCUGAGUUCUCCCUUAAAGAUUUGGGUAUACUAGAUUAUUUUCUCGGCAUAGAGGUGCAUCACUCACCAUCUGGCUCUUUACUUCUUUCUCAAACCAAAUAUAUCAAGGACCUUCUUCAGAAAGCUAACAUGAUUAAUGCUAAUAGCAUGCCUUCACCAAUGGCAUCUAGUACAAAAUUGUCUAAAUUUGGUUCAAGUACAGUCUCAGAUCCUACAUUUUUCAGGUCAAUUGUUGGUGCAUUGCAAUAUGCAACCAUAACAAGACCUGAAAUAUCCUACUCUGUGAACAAAGUUUGCCAGUUUUUAUCAAAUCCCCUUGAAGAUCACUGGAAGGCAGUCAAGAGGAUACUUAGAUAUCUGCAGGGUACUUUACACCAUGGGUUAAUGCUUACACCUGCCAGCUCUACUGAACCUAUUGCAAUCACCGGAUUUUGUGAUGCUGACUGGGCUUCAGAUCCUGAUGACAGAAGAAGCACAUCAGGAGCCUGCAUAUUUCUGGGCCCCAAUCUAGUUUCCUGGUGGGCAAGGAAACAGACCCUUGUAGCUAGAUCUAGUGCAGAGGCUGAAUAUAGAAGCCUUGCACAAGCUUCGGCUGAGAUUAUUUGGAUCCAAUCUCUUCUCAAUGAAUUGCAAAUUAAGAGUAAAAUUCCUCAUGUCUAUUGUGAUAAUCUCAGUGCAGUUUCUCUUGCUCACAACCCAGUCCUGCACUCAAGAACCAAGCACAUGGAAUUGGAUAUUUUCUUUGUGAGAGAAAAGGUUAUAAGGAAGGAACUGAAUGUCUCGCAUGUGCCUGCUCAAGACCAGUGGGCAGAUGUCUUAACUAAGCCUCUGUCCACUGCCAGAUUCCUUUAUCUUAGAGACAAACUGAGGGUUUGUGACACCCUCCGUUUGAAGGGGGACUGUUAGAAUAAUUAAUCAAGUACUUAGUGGAGAUAUUGAAAAGUUGUGACUAUUUAGUUUCAACUCCACUAGCCAUUGUAUUGAUUGUAUUGAUUAAUCUUCCUUAUUAAUUAGGGGUUAACUAGGAGACUCUUACCUAUAUAAAUGUACACUCUCACCACAUAAUAUGAUAUAAUAAACAUAUUUUCAGUUCUAAUACAACAAUCACAAUAUAAUUAUAAAGAUUAUAUGAAAGGACAU